GCCGGUCCUCGGUAGUGGCCCCCGGGUGGUCAACCCCCGGUGGCUUCGAUCGAAGACCGGC
rfam:Streptomyces rubidus strain CGMCC 4.2026 genome assembly, contig: Ga0079901_1015